CUUUGCCUUCACCUUUUUUUUCAAAUAUACACUAUGUUUUGAGGGAGAUCUUGCCAAACCUGUUAAAGUCAGAAGUUUAAGAAGUUAAAGUUUAGAAAUGGCAGUGGAGGGAAGUACUGACCUGAAGCAGGCUCUAAGGUUCUAAGCAGCACACAGCCCUGAUGGCUGCACCGUUCAUAAACCAAUUCUGCCUUUGUUAACGGGUGUCAGACAUGAAACAGAAGGGAAAAAGCACAUUCCCUUUGCUGUUCUGCACAUGCAAGUAAGUCAAGAGAGAAAAUAUACAAGUUUAUUGGUAGAGUGUAUUGAGGUCUCUCCAAGCUGACUGGGCAUCUCACAAGUUGCAAUGAAGGACUGUGACAGCUUCUCACUGUUCCUCAUGAGAUAUACGGAGUCCCUUCUGCAAGUGCAAGCCUAAUCCCUUUAAUGUGGCUUGGCGUAAAACGGGCCAGAUUGUCUGAUGCAAUGUGGUCGCCCUAUCUGGUGCACCACAUGCCUUCCUUGCAGAGCUGGUCCACAACCAAGCCCAGAAGGACUAUCUGGUGAUCCUGGGCCUUCGCAGCGCUGUGGGUUCCCCAACACUUUCCAAAACAAAGAGGGCAUGGGGACAGGGUCUGAAGGACUAUGUGAGAUGGGAACUGAGAGAACCACAGACAAGUUGUGAGGAGCAAUCAUACCCAUUGACCUUGAAGAGGGAAUUUCUGACCAGCACCACAAACUAUAAGUUCCUGUAAGUUUAUAUACUUACAGCCUAAGCAAUAAAGCUGUUUUUCAGUAAAUACUUCUAUCACCAGCUGACAAAAAAUAAAUAAAAUAAAUUACUGGGUUAUUCAGAGUUUGGGAAAUGUAAAAUUAUUGGUGUACCCAUUUCUGAACCAUUCCCUCUGUGCUUCAGGCAACGUCAGAGAUCUGGACUAUAACAUUUAAGGUCAACCUCUUUUUUUCCCAGCACAAUGUUUAUUAUGGCACGCAUGAAUUGAUUUAUAACAAAUUCAUGGAUCUUAAAAGGGAACGGUUUAUCUCUAUUGAAAGAUUAUGACUGUCUCUGAUCUGUGUUUCCUUAGUCCUAAUGCCUUUAGUUUGGCACUAGGAGCAAUGCUUCUGAAGAUUGUUUUCCUUGCCAUCUUCGUAACUUUUCUAAGUACGAUUAUUUGUUUCUUCUUCCCUUCAUAUGAACUUGGCAGCUUUUUUCUUUCAGUGAAUGCAGUCAGACUGCUAGCUCUAAGAAGUGGUGCAUGCAGGUGAUGCUGCAAUCGCAGAUUUGUGUGGUUUAUGUUUUGUAGCUUUGGUUAGCUCUUUAACAAAUCUGUCUUCAUCAAUGUAUAUGUUUUAUGAACUUUAAGACUUAUUUUGCCUUCCUGCCCUCCAAAAACUGGAAAAAGGCCCUUGCUGAUCAGAAUGCAGAACUCUGCUGCAUUCUCUUCCUUUCAACUGGAGGUAGGUCUGGAACUGGAUAACUCAGAGGUACAGGACACGUUUUACAUCUUUUCAGUUUCUUGUCACUGUAGCUGUGUUGGUCUGAUUUCCUGGGGCAUAAUUCCUGCCCACGUUCUCCAUACUGACAAAAGCACCAACACCUUCAUAGUAUUUUCAUUCUCUGCUUAGGGUGUUGUUAUGGUUUUGUCCUCAAGACUUCCUGCCUUCUUUUCAGCCAGGAUGGAGCUCAGCUAUAAACAAUCAAGCUUCUCAGUGUCCUAGUUGCUGAUGACAGUAUAUCAAGCAAAAAGUCAUCUCUAUAGUCUCACACCCUCAUAUUAUUGUGUUCCUUUGAAAUUCCUGGCAACAUGCACAGUCCAUCCUAAGUUACAUCCUGGUAUUCAGUAGUCUCAGGACCUACAUAACUGCUGUUGAAUAAGAUGCUUAAGUUUUCUGUUUCAAACAUGCAGAUAAAAUGCUUGCAAAUUAAACAUUGUUCUAAAAUAAAAACUUUUCUAGCUGCUGUUUGGCACAACAUGUUAACACCAGCUAGCAUCACGUAUUGAAUUACUGAGAUACGUGGCAAGCAGCGGAUGGAUUCUCCAUCUGCUACCUUCUUUCUCUAACAUGGCUUUUUAAUUAGAACAAUAAUGAGCAGAAUGAAUGAAUGUCAGUUAUUACAGAUGGGAAACAAGAUGAAGAUGCCAUUUGGGUAAGAGACAUGUUAGAAUUUUUCAUUGAGACCUGAAAGCCUAGGAUUUUUCUUCUAAAUUGCUUUCUGAGAAGUUAUUGUUCAUAUAAGAGAGAGAACAAUAAUCCUGUACUGCACUGGGAAAAUGCUUUUCACACUGCAUAGGCUGUUUUAUGUGCUUUUUAAUUCUGGCCUUUGAAAGGUUUCCUUCUCUGCUUCGUGCACGCACACAAACCAACUAAAACUGCAAAAAUCAAUGGUUAAACCAGAAAUCCAGAAAGCUAAAGUAGAAAGAAAUGCCAAAAUUCAAGUGAUAUUUUCCUUGUUUUGUCAUAGUUAGAGUAUUUAUUACUUUCAGUGUAAUAAAUAAAUAAGUAGUAAUUCAUGAUGAUGCUAAGCAACACUUAAAAUGUUAAAGCGUGUUCCUGACCUUCAGUCCUGACCUGGGAACUUAAAGAGUUCAAGGAGCUAGGGAGGGGAGAGAAAGAAGGCAUUCCACAGGAAUUAUUUCAAAGGAACUUUACCAAAUGUCUGGAUCUUGGAAUACAAUUAAUUGACAAGAGUCAUGUAAUAAAAUUAUUGCUUGAAAAAAAAAUAAAAUAAAAUAAUAAUAAUAAUA